rnacentral:lncRNA from 1 species
CCAGUAUUCAUUCAUCCAUCCACAGAAAUUGACCGAGCACCAGCUCUGGGGCAGACACAGGCAUAAGUCCCAGCAAUACAAUACCAGAUGGGACCUUACCCUUCUGGAGUUUCCAUGCAGGCUAGGCAGAACAUCAGGGCAUCAGCAGUCCCUCAGUUUACCAGGUCUGUCCUCUGCUGCCAGGAAGACACCUGCUUCCUGCCAGGUUGCCUCCAUAGGGGACUCAGUCCAGCCAGGCGGAAUGGCCUUGCGGGUUGUGUUCUCAGCAAGGAGGAGCUGGGAGGAGGUGCAGGAGCCGCCAAGGUCUCAGGCAAGGUCAGGGGCUGACGGCAGGAAAGUUGGGGGAGCAGCAUCAGAAGAUAACGGCCCAAGGCUCUGGGCUCGCUGCAGGCGCUCUCUCGCCUUCUCCGCCUCUUCCCGGGGCCCAGUGCUGCCCCCUGCCUGCUUCAUAGGAGCCCCAGGAAGCUCCGAUCUUCCUUCUCUAGGCUCAAAACCCCUGCCAUGGAGAAGGGAGGAAUGCAAGUUUUAUCUAUGGAACUGGAGGUUACUUGUUGAAGUCCCCUGACGUGGGGGGAAAAAGCAACGCAGCCCUAAUCCUGAAGUUGAGGGCAUCUGUGAGGCCCUGGUCCAGAGGGCAGGCAAUGGCGGCCCCACCGCCCAGAGGCCAGUCCGUCCUGUCUCUCCCAGAGCUGAUAAGAGGAUAACGCGUUUCUCAGAGCCGGGGCUGGUGGGUAUGCUUUGAGAGGGAGGAGGAGGGGCAGCAGGCAAAGACAGGGAUUGAGGCCUGCUCUCCCCAGUGCUGAGGAUGGAAAGCUGUUUCUCCAGGCCUCCAGAACACAGUCUCACGGGAUGCCCGCUCCACACCGCCACGGCGGGCGAGGCCGCCUCUCAGGCGGUCCAGAAGCAGUUAGCUGUGUGCGUGUGCGCAAGCCUCGAGCCUCCUCUGCUUCCCGCCUUUUCUCAGGCAUGCGUCGUUCCCUCUACCUCCGCUCUUGGGCCGGCCCGCGGCGUGAAGCUAGUGCGCAGGCGCCGAGCGUCCUCGCCGCCACCACCACCCACCACCCCCAUUCUCGGGAGCAUGGACUGCGGGGCGGAGACAGAGGGAGAAAGAUCCCCCAGGAAAAGCGCAAUAGGAGAACUAGGAGACAGGAGAGGGAAGGCGGGGCUCCCUCUUCCAACGGCUGUCAGGCACAGCCACGCCUCCAGCGCUGGCGCCCCGCCUCGUCUCUGAGUUGGCAGAGGACCUGGCCCGCCCCCACCCCAGGCAGAGGCCCAGAGGCGCCCCACUUUCACCCCUUCAAAAGGUGGGCCGGGCCGCGUUCUAGGGGAUCCCUCCUUGGGAAGGGCCUCGCGGCUGGAAUUGGCCCCCGCGCAAGGACCGCGGGGAAUUGA